rnacentral:tRNA from 1 species
AGAUAGCUCAGUGUAGAGCAGAGACUGAAAUCC